rnacentral:rRNA from 1 species
CACGAACCGUACGAACGUUAUUCGGAAUUACUGGGCUUAAAGAGUGCGUAGGCGGAUUGUUAAGUCAGGUGUGAAAUCCCACAGCUCAACUGUGGAACUGCGCUUGAUACUGCUAGUCUUGAGGAAGAUAGGGGAGAGCGGAACAAAUGGUGGAGCGGUGAAAUGCGUUGAUAUCACUUGGAACACCGGUGGCGAAAGCGGCUCUCUGGAUCUUUUCUGACGCUGAGGCACGAAAGCUAGGGUAGCGAACGGG